UAGGACAGAAAAAUGAAAAGAUAAUAUACUACGCAAUACGAAAAGUAUGUUACUCCCCAGCUUAUUAGAUUGUCAAAAUCCAAAUUUCUCCUUUUUAGUGUACCAUCUCGGUCAAACUGUGGCCAUAAAAGUCAAUAUCAUCCCAUUCCCAAGAUGAAUAUCAAGUAUCUGCUGGUUGUUAUAUGUCUCUGGCUUUGUUCCAUAUCUUUGUCUCUUACAAUUUCUGAUGAUGGGUUGAUGAGAGUUUCUCUAAAAAGGAGAAAUUUGGAUUUUGACACUCUUAAUUCUGCCAUAGUUUUAAAGAGUGUUGAUAAAAACUGUUCCCAAAAAGAUGUUGUUGUGUAUCUUAAGAAUUACUUUGAUGUACAAUAUUUUGGGGAAAUUGGUAUUGGUUCACCUCCACAGUACUUCAAUGUUGUUUUUGACACUGGUAGCUCCAAUCUUUGGGUUCCAUCUUCCAAAUGCAUAUUCUCAAUUGCUUGCUAUUUUCAUUCCAAAUAUAGUUCAAAGAUAUCUACCACUUAUAAGGAAAUUGGAAUACGUUGUAAAAUUCCUUAUGAUCAAGGAUACAUUUAUGGAUUCUUCAGCCAAGACAAUGUAAAAGUUGGGGAUAUUAUUAUCAAAGAUCAAGGAUUUUCUGAGAUUACACGGGAAGGAAAUUUCGCACUUUUAGCUCUUCCGUUUGAUGGUAUACUUGGACUUGGAUUCCAGGAUAUUUCAGUUGGAGGAGUCACACCAGUGUGGUAUAAUAUGAUAGAACAAGGACAAGUACUGGAAAAAGUUUUCUCUUUUUGGCUAAAUAAAGAUCCAUUGGGAGAAAUUGGGGGUGAGAUUGUGUUUGGAGGUAUGGACAAGAGGCAUUUUAAAGGUGAACACACUUACUUUCCAAUUUCUCAAAAGGGUUAUUGGCAGAUUGAAGUGGGAGAUAUUCUACUUGCAAAUGAUACAACAGGUUUUUGUGAUGGUGGAUGUGCUGCAAUAGUGGACUCAGGAACAUCUUUAAUUGCUGGUCCAACUGGUGUUGUGACUCAAAUCAACCAUGCCAUUGGAACAGAAGGAUAUGUUAGUUUUGAGUGUAAAAGCAUUGUCCAUAACUACGGAGAUUUGAUAUGGGAAUCCUUGAUUUCAGGAGUUUGUUCUCUUUCUCUCUAUGUACUUAUAUUCUCAACACUAACCUUUUACUUAUCUCGGUAUGUCACAUGUCUGCAGUUAAAUCCUGAAAUCUUAUGCGCGAACAUUGGACUUUGUUCAUAUAACGGAUUUCAAAGAUCGAACGAUGUUAUUGAAACAGUGGUGCACAAUGAAACUCGGGAUGGAUCGCAAACAACGAAGAGCCCCUUUUGUAGUUUUUGCAAUAUGAUUGUCCUUUGGAUUCAAGUUCAGAUUCAGCAAAGCGACGCAAAGGAAAAAGUAUUAAAGCACGUGGACGAGCUAUGCGAGAGGCUCCCGAAUCCGGUCGGACAAUCAUUUAUAAACUGCAGUAGUGUCUCAGAUAUGCCAAACAUUACAUUCUCAAUUGGAAGCAAAUUGUUUCAUCUGUCUCCACAACAGUAUAUUCUUAAAGUUGAUGAUGAUAAAGAUAGUUCUCCUGUGUGCUAUAGUGGAUUUGUUGCUCUAGAUGUGCUUUCUCCACAGGGUCCCCUCUGGUAAUGCAUACUUAUCAUGAUAUUCACAAUGUCUUUCUUAAUGCUUAAUGUUGCAUGCUAUGAAGCACGGACACCGGAAACACGGCACCAACACUGAUACGUCGACAUCAGUAAUAAUUUGAAAAAUUGAAUAGUUAAACGUAAUCGGUUCUUGGAGACAUUUUCUUAAAGGCAUAUCACACAGUGUUUGAUUAUGGUAAUCUCCGCAUAGGAUUUGCAGAAUCUGUAUAGUCAUUGUUGUUCACAUGAUUCACAGCAGUACAUACGUAUAUAUGAGUUUUGUAAUAUUGUAUAGUAAUGUGUAGACCAUGUUAAUAGGUUUCGGAAAAUGUAUAAGAAAUAUGAUGAGAGCUUAUUCAUAAAAUUGUUGGGCCAGAGAUGUACAUGAUUUGCUACAUGAUAUGUUCAACUAUGGCCUCAAGAGACAUGUAACCAAGGUAGCCAAAGGACGAGUCUUCAAGGGAAUGUGUUAUUUUGUUUUAAUAUUAUUUUUACUUAGUUGUUGUUGUUGUGGUCUCACCUAGAUACCAAAUUCUAUACAAACUUGUGUAUUAUUGUACCGAAUAACAUCAUUGCUUUAGGAUGCAAAAAUGUGAUGGUGUUAAUAGAGUAAGAUUGAUUCUA